CGGUUUUGUGCUAGGUCAUGGACAGACAGCCUCCUUCUGAGUAGUGAGUAGACGGGCUUGUGGGCCCUGAGAGUGUCUCCCCGUGGUGAGGAGUAAAACCCAUUUGUUACUGGUCCCCUCACUCGCACGCCUAGACCCCUUCGGGGGGAACGUAACAGAUGGAUAUGUGGAGAACAGGUCAUUUAUUCUCUGCACCUUUGCUUCUCUGGUAUCAUCUAAAGAAGAUGUUUUUAAAAAAAAAAAAAAAAAUUAAAUUACCCUCCCUCCCCGCCCAAAAACCCAGCUGUUGUGAUUUAUAAUUUUAGAAUAUUUUUUUAUCAUUAAAUGUACUGCACAUUUGUGACUGUGAUAGGAGAAAUUACCAUUUAUCGUUAGUUUAUUAUUCGUUACUGAUUUCUGAGGCACUCGAAUUAUACAAGUAACACUUGCUUUUUUUUUUUUGUAAGGCAAUGAGUUUGCUUUUUUUAAACAAUUAAUGUAUUUUUGUGUGACGGAGGAAAGCAAAAAGAUUAUUUCAGUUUUAUGGAGCUCUCAAAUUUCUCUGCUAAACUGAGCGAGGCAUUGGCUUCCUUUCUGUCUGCACUUUUUGACAGAUGCUGACAGGUCCCAUUGGCCUCUUUAACAGGGCUGACUGCUGACAGGAACAUGGUGGAAAUGAAACAAAAUGUUCCCUAUAGCUUCCCAAGUGACUUCUAUCCUGCACGUACCCCUACAUGCCCAGAGAGAUGCGUGUCCCUAUCAGAAACUCUCCUCAUGACUGACUGAUGUCAUCUGUCAGAAAGACGGUGAUGAUGAUUUUUAGAUGUGAAUUAUUUUGUUACCUCAACUGUCUUCUGAUGUUUGCUUUUUUGCUACAAUCUGAUAGAAGACCAUCUGCCAGUGACAAAUGAUUUUAUAAUUAUGACUUUGUUAUCACUUUAUCUUGACAAUA